AUAUCAAUAAGCGGAGGAAAAGAAACCAACAGGGAUUGCCCUAGUAACGGCGAGUGAAGCGGCAACAGCUCAAAUUUGAAAUCUGGCUUCGGCCCGAGUUGUAAUUUGCAGAGGAAGCUUUGGGCGCGGCACCGACCGAGUCCCCUGGAACGGGGCGCCAUAGAGGGUGAGAGCCCCGUAUGGUCGGACGCCUAGCCUGUGUAAAGCUCCUUCGACGAGUCGAGUAGUUUGGGAAUGCCGCUCAAAAUGGGAGGUAAAUUUCUUCUAAAGCUAAAUACCGGCCAGAGACCGAUAGCGCACAAGUAGAGUGAUCGAAAGAUGAAAAGCACUUUGAAAAGAGGGUUAAAUAGCACGUGAAAUUGUUGAAAGGGAAGCGCUUGUGACCAGACUUGCGCCUGGCGGAUCAUCCGGUGUUCUCACCGGUGCACUCCGCCAGGCUCAGGCCAGCAUCGGUCUCGGUGGGGGGAUAAAGGUCCCGGGAACGUAGCUCCUCCGGGAGUGUUACAGCCCGGGGCGUAAUGCCCCCGCCGGGACCGAGGACUGCGCAUCUGCAAGGAUGCUGGCGUAAUGGUCAUCAGCGA
rnacentral:rRNA from 1 species